GACAGAGGAUGCAAGCGUUAUCCGGAAUGAUUGGGCGUAAAGCGUCUGUAGGUGGCUUUUUAAGUCCGCCGUCAAAUCCCAGGGCUCAACCCUGGACAGGCGGUGGAAACUACCAAGCUGGAGUACGGUAGGGGCAGAGGGAAUUUCCGGUGGAGCGGUGAAAUGCGGUAGAGAGUCGGAAAAGAACACCAACGGGCGAAAGCACUCUGCUGGGCCGACACUGACACUGAGAGACGAAAGCUAGGGGAGCGAAUGGG
rnacentral:rRNA from 1 species